UACAGAGGGUGCGAGCGUUAAUCGGAAUUACUGGGCGUAAAGCGCGCGUAGGCGGUUUUGUAAGUCGGGUGUGAAAUCCCCAAGCUUAACUUGGGAACUGCAUUCGAGACUGCAUAGCUAGAGUAUGGGAGAGGGAAGUGGAAUUUCAGGUGUAGCGGUGAAAUGCGUAGAUAUCUGAAGGAACAUUAGUGGCGAACGCGAAUUCGUGGACCAAUACUGACGCUCAUGUGCGCAAGCGUGGGGAGCAAACAGG
rnacentral:rRNA from 1 species